AUGUAUGACAUCAUGUACACCAAGGCAGCAGUGAUCCACACUUGGCCUGGCUACAUCAUCCGUCUCGCCUCGCCGCCCCUCACUCUCACCGCCCUCUUACUGUUUUUCUUGCACAGUAAAGAUGGCAUGGAGGGGAUAGAUAUCACCAUCACUUAUGCCCUGCUGAUUGGCACCUUCCUGCUGGAUGUGAGAUGGCUGCUCAGAGCGCUGGGCUCGUCCUGGACAUACGCAUUCUUGCAAGAUACUACAAGAUGCGAGCUGCUCAAGAAGACACUUUGCUGCCGGCGUGGGUGCUGGUAUGGGCUCCGUCGCUUUGUUCUCUGUCUGGAUCCGUCCCGUCUGUGGCGUCAAGGGGAAUGUAGCCACAGGCUUUGGUCGCGCACCAUGGGGCAGCACAACUUGUUGGGCGAGUGCACUGAUGGCACACCGAUGAGCAAGAUUGGAUGGGAUGACAACUCUAAGACUAAGAGCGCAGGGGUCGGGUCAUUGGUGGAAGAGUUAUGUGCAGACAUAUGGCCGCAUAUAUCUCAUGCCUAUAUCCUAAGGAGGGUGCCAGAGAAGGAUAUGGGUCCCAUGCCCCCACAAGCUUCCGAUAGGCGUAGGUCAUUCAGCGAGGAAAGGCGCUUUGGUGCUGAAUUUGAUGAGCUCGUUAUCACGUGGCACAUUGCUACGGACAUCUUCCUCUUGGGCAGGACCGAAACUGAACAAGAUGAACAUUGUGACACCUUUCAGAAGAUCAAGGCCCUAUCAGACUACAUGAUGUUCCUCGUCGCUAAACGUCCGGAAAUGCUGCCAGGCCUUAAACUCCACAGCCAUUAUGAAGAAACCCGUGUUGCUUUGGAGGGGAUCAAAUCCAGAUGUAACGGAUGUACAGACAGUCAGAAGCUUGCCGACGAGCUAGGGAAGAUGCAGCAUUCCUAUUCCGGGCUGUUAACUAAUAAGGUUCUCCGGGACGCUGUUAUUUAUGCCAAACUGCUCAAGAAGCUGUGUCUGGCUGAGCAUGUGUACCAAGAAUGGAGCACAAUUUUCGGCGAUGUAGUUUUUGAGGUAAUAAUUUCCAGAGAUGAUGAGAUGAAAGAUGAACUCGAGAGAAGACUUCUAAUUCUGGUCCCGAAAUUCAAGAAUUAUGCACGGCCAUCUGAUGGGCGUGUGCGUGUGGGCUGGCCACUGGAAGAGGUGUUAAGGAACUUCGUUCUCCAAUCAUGGGUCCGUUUGCUCGUCUUGGGGUCGAUUCGCUGCAGCAGGGAUUCACACGCCAAGCAGCUGGGCUGUGGUGGUGAGCUCACAACUAUCCUCUGGAUCCUAGCUGAGCACAAGGACAUAAUCAACGUAACGAAAUUCACAAAGGACUAG
rnacentral:rRNA from 1 species